AUGGAUUGACACUUUUGCAUUAUUGGAAUACAACACAGUUCCCUUUUUAUCUGUACGUUCUUUCUCUGAGUGGACAGAUGUAUUUGCUUUUCCAUCAGGAUACACCAUGACAUCGCAGAAAUACAGCACACCCUGACUGUGGGCUACUGACAUCUAUAACCGGUGAAUAUUUUUUUUAGAUUUACAUGAUUUACAUGUUUCGCUGCAUUCCUGAUCAGCUUUUCAGAACACCUAUCUAGCAAAACAAGAACAAUUUACCAUAUUAUGAUCACACCUGCUUCCAAACGUACAUCAUUAGAUGUAAAAUAGUAGGUACAAGUGGCAGCAGAUUUGGGCACCACCCUUGGCAGUCCUUGUAUCUUUCCUUCUGAUAAUAUCUGGGAGCUGGGUCAGACAGGUAAUAAUCAGCACAGAACUUUCUUUUCCAUUGGCACACUGCUAGUUACCAGUGGCUGGCGAUUUAUGGAGCAGCUUUGUUAAACUAUCUUUGUCAAGUGCCGCCUCUUAUCAACAGAAAACCCAUCAAAUCUCUAAAGAAGCAGUAAGGUGAGAGGAAAAGGGAACUAUGCAGUAACGUGUGGUAGGGCAGGCGGUCUUUUAACAUUCCUGGUAUCCUCAUGGAGUCCUUAAAUAUCAACAAGACCUUAGUGAACCUCUUAGGGGACCAAUGUGUUGCGUGUUCACACAAUUUUACUACAAAUAACAUUGACCCAAACCAAGACCCAGAGAAACUGGUCUAUAUGCUCCUGAUUAUUAGUGGCUUUGCCUUCUGCACCUUGGUGGUGAUGUAUUGGCAUAUUUCCUCUCGAAAAGGUGAUCAUUCUGUGGAUCCCUAUCACCAGUACAUAAUCGGAACAUGGAAGGAAGACAGUCUCAUCCUGGUCAACCACAGGGAAAGAUCUGCAUCUGUGAUAGACGGUGAUCUCAGACCAGAACCUGGACCAUCAUCCAUGUAAUAUAUUACAAAAAUGUAUAGCUAUUAUAUUGUACAUUGUAAUUAAUAUCAAAUUCUUGUCA